rnacentral:lncRNA from 1 species
GGAAGGCGGCGCAUGUCCUCCUCCUUCACAAUGGCGGGGAUCCUUCUGACCUAGAUAACAAUCGCUCAAUUUCUAAACUAUCUUGCCUUGCAAAAAUGUUAAAAUCACUGGAAAAUGCUCAGCUAAGAACUUUUAAAACUUAAAAUUACUGUAUAUUCUUAAUGUGCACCAGUCUAGUUUUAGACCUAGACAUAGCACUGUUUAAGCAGCUACGCUUGUCUUAAAGAAUGUGUUAAAUUGCUUAGAUCGUAGGAAUCACUGUGCUGCCAUAUUUAUAGACUUAGCCAAGGCCUUUGAUACUGUCGACCAUCCCCUACUCAUUCAAAGGUUGUCUGAAAUGGGCCUCGACCAGGCAUCUUGCAAGUGGUUUGGGAACUAUCUCUCAGACAGUGCACAAGUUGUGCUUUCUGAUGGUGUUAAGUUACUUCGCUAUUACUAAAGGUGUCCCGGAGGGGUCGAUUUUGGGACCUGUCCUCUUUACUAUUUAUAUAAGUAAUAAUGGUCUAUCUGCAAAAACUUGUAACAUUCCUCUGUAUGCAGAUUACACUUAUGUACACUAUUCCCCUACUGCUGACCAGGCUAUGCUAGAGCUGCAAUCAGAUUUUGCUGCUUUGCAGAAAGCCCUUGUUUAUUUAAAAUUGGUACUAAAUGGAGGAAAAACUAAAUCAACAGUCUUCCAACCUCCACCACUAACGGAAGGACGGUCACUGCCAAGCACUGUAGGUUAGUGGUUGAAGAUAUCCUUAUAGUGAUGUGGGGGCUGUGCUUUGGCAAAGUGGGUGGGGUUAUAUCCUGCCUGUUUGGCCCUGUCCGGGGGUAUCGUCGAACAGGGCCACAGUGUCUCCCGACCCCUCCUGUCUCAGCCUCCAGUAUUGAUGCUGCAAUAGUUUAUGUGUUGGGGGCUAGGGUCAGUCUGUUAUAUCUGGAGUAUUUCUCCUGUCUCAUCCGGUGUCCUGUGUGAAUUUAAGUAUGCUCCCUCUAAUUCUCUCUCUCUCUCUUUCUCUUUCUCCUCUCUCUUUCUCUCUCUCUUUUCUCUGAGGACCUGAGCCCUAGGACCUUGCCUCAGGACUGCCUGGCCUGAUGACUCCUUGCUAUCCCCAGUCCACCUGGUCAUGCUGCUGCUCCAGUUUCAACUGUUCUGCCUGCGGCUAUGGAACCCUGACCUGUUCACUGGACGUGCUACCUUGUCCCGGACCUGCUGUUUUGGACUCUCUCUCUACCGCACCUGCUGUCUCUAAAGCUGAAUGAUCGGCUAUGAAAAGCCAACUGACAUUUACUCCUGAGGUGCUGAACUGUUGCACCCUCUACAACCACUGUGAUUAUUAUUAUCUGACCCUGCUGGUCAUCUAUGAACAUUUGAACAUCUUGGCCAUGUACUGUUAUAAUUUCCACCCAGCACAGCCAGAAGAAGACUGGCCACCCCUCAGAGCCUGGUUCCUCUCUAGGUUUCUUCCUAGGUUCUGGCCUUUCUAUGGAGUUUUUCCUAGCCACCAUGCUUCUACAUCUGCAUUGCUUGCUGUUUGGGGUUUUAGGCUGGGUUUCUGUGCAGCACUUUGUGACAUCGGCUGAUGUAAAAAUGGCUUUAGAAAUACAUUUGAUUGAUUGAUUGACUAUCAUGCAGAUCUGUUAACUUUACAGUGAGGACAAGCAGGGGCGAAGGACAUGGUGUACUCGCUAGCUGCGCGCUUCACUCUUCGGUUUUGUUUAGAAUUAGGCACAAGUGAUGCUAAUUUGUGAAUAUUGUUGUUAUGAAUAGGCCUACUCAAAGGUGUAUAUAUGGUAAAAGGAUCUUUAUCCUAGUUUAUGAAUGCUUUAAAUUAGCGAUUAUAUAUUACGGUAUUGUGAACCAGUUUGCAUUGUUUUACGUGUGCAAUUAGAUUGGUCCCCUUAGAUUGCGGGCUAGUUGGUAGGCUCCAGAAGACGUACUCUCCCCCUAGAAUUGUUAGCUGGGUAGAGGUUUGCUUUAUGUUUAAUUCCAUUUAUUAUACGUUGGAUCCAUCAGAACUUAGUCGGAUCGAGAAUAUAAAGGGUUCUGAGUUUUGAUCAACGCUGGGAGUAGCCUAAUAUUUAGAUGUUGACCCGUAAUUGAUUUUCUUAAUUGUGUACUACUGUAUAUAUAUUUAAAGAUACAUAAAAAAAUACCUAGGUCUGGACCUCGCUGACUUCAUACAGUAUGUAGUUAGAGCCAUGCACUGUACACAGUUAACACAUUUGUGGUGUCCAUCUUCAGUUCACACGCAGGUGUUUGGAGAAGAAGAUAGCUAAUUAGCACAGAUAGUCGACUCUGUCUUCGUUUGUUUUCCGUAAACAAGCGCUGUAACAUGGAAAUAUGGCGGUGUGGGAACCUUAACCCGUGUGUAGUCAUUUAACCUUCAGUUUUAGGGAAAUGAUCUCUCGCUGAUUUGAAAGAUAUGUUCCUUAUGUUAUCGCAAGCGAUGAGUGUUAAAGUUUAGAGCAAGCGUUGGGCUCUUAACAAAACAGAAUAGGCAGAAUAGGCACUUAAGGUAGUUAACUGACUUGCCUAGUUAAAUAAAGGUAACAACAAUUGUUGGGUAUUAACAAGUGAAGUUUGGUAAAAUGUUCUGCUUUACACUACCUAAGUAAUAAUGCCUAUCAGCCAGCUGGAACAGAAGUAAUGGUCUGACUAGGCAAUAUUUUUAAUACACUGUAGCUAAUUGAGCCUAGGUCUGUGAUGGAAAAAACUGGAUGGAUUAGAUACGCCUAAACCAAAAGGGGGCACUCGGCCACCCAAUGAGGCGCUUCAUAUUAAAAUUAAUUAUUUAAUUAUUUCGCCACCCCACCGAAGGCAUUGUUAUUUAAUUUAAUUGGUUCAUUAUGUGAGUGUCUAUAAUCAGCCCACAGCAUUGCUCCUAAUGGAAUCACAGGUAGGCAGAGUAUAGCAUUAUUAUGCCGCUGAUGCCAAAUGCCAAAUCCAUGCAUGAAGCCAAUAUAGGUCACCCAUAUACAGGAGUUAUCUUAAGUUGCCCAAGGUUGUUAUUAACUCUGUAACUCAUUUACUUUUUGGCUUGAUGUCUGUAUGAAAGUGAAAUUGAUAGAUGGAAAGAAAAUGUGGGUAGCCCACUGACCUGUUCUUUGCCUAGAAAUUGUGGUCCAACCAUUUUCUUUCUGUCAGUUUUUUAUGGAGAAAGAUUUUGCUAGUUGUCCAUGUUUGUUUUACCAUAGUUUAAAGCCGGUCUCCGCAAUAGGCAGCCCCUUAAUUAAUAAAUUAAUAAUUUUCCGUCUUGGACAUUAAAGACCGUAAAAUCACCAGGAAAUUCGGUAUACCCCCCCUACCUUGUCACAACGCAACUGAUUGGCUCAAAUGCAUUAAGAAGGAAAGAAAUUCCACAAAUUAACUUUUAAGGCACACCUGUUAAUUGAAAUGCAUUCCAGGUGACUACCUCAUGAAGCUGGUUGAGAGAAUGCCAAGAGUGUGCAAAGCUGUCAUCAAGGCAAAGUGUGGCUAUUUGACGAAUCUCAAAUAUAAAAUAUAUUUUGAUUUGUUUAACACUUUUUUGAUUGCUUCAUGAUUUCAC